rnacentral:lncRNA from 1 species
UCCCGCCCCGCCAUGCAAAUCAGCCAGGCGGCGACGGCCAAUGGGGAGGCGAGCUCCGCUGUUGUAUUUAUAGACGCUAUUUAAAGAGCCCCUGGGAGUCUCCGCGCGGCGCUGGGCGGCGGCGGCGACUGGGAGGGCGCGCGGGAGGCUGGGCACGUGCGCUGGGGGGGGGUAGGGGGCGCGCGGGCCCUGGCGGACCGUUGGUGCGCGCGCCCAACCGCCGCCACGGCCACGCGCAGAUCGCGCGGAGCGGGAGGGCAGCGCAGCAGUGGAGGUGGAGGUGGUCUGGGGAAUGCCGUCCUCAGGAAAAACUCCAGAAUGUGCCUGUAGCAAGGCAACUUGCCUGCUGUGGACUGGGCGGAGAGAUGAGGGAUGGGGGCAGGAACUGCUCCGAAUGCUUGGCACACCCCCCACCUAAAGUAGCUACAGUGGCCACGUUGAUGGUCUCUUUCUUCCAAAGCAGUUCUACAGAAAUCAGAAACUGGUGGACCUAUUCCGUCAAAAAAUUUCCACUGAAUCUCUGUCACAUGGUGUCAACACUAUUUCACUCAUCAAGGCUGUCUUUUGCUGCGUCAUUGGUGGUCUUCCAUGCUUUAAGUGAAAUAAUGAAAACUAAGUCAAGGUGAUGUUGCCAAAAACAGUGGUGAAUAAGUGGACUCCUGAGCAACUGCAGCACCAGCAGCAUUUAACUU